GGUAUAAAUAGCUCACGACCUCAAUACCUCAAAUCAUAAUUGAAUCGACUCUUAGUCUACUCAGUACAAUAAUCUAAUCAUGAAGGUCUUCAUUUUCUUCGCUCUCUUCUGCUUGGCCGUAGCUUCAGCUUCAGUCAUUGGACCAUUGGGUGGAGUUGCUAUCUCCCCAUUGGGCUUGCCAUUAGCUGGUCAUGGUGUUGUUGUCGGUGGAUUGGGAGUUCCCGGACUAAUUGCUCCAGGACUUAUUGGACACCCUGGAGUUGUCAAGGUCAUUGGUUAGACAAUACAUACAAUCAAAUAAAAGUUGCUGAUAUGAUUCAAAAGUUUGUUGAAAAGUUUAAAAUAAAAUGCUGAGAUUUAUAAAUAAAAGUUUGUUUUUACUUUAA